UUUUUUCUUGAUCAGAGCUGC
rnacentral:piRNA from 1 species